rnacentral:rRNA from 1 species
UACGUAGGGCGCAAGCGUUGCUCGGAAUUAUUGGGCGUAAAGGGUAGGUAGGUGGUGACAUUUGUCUGGGGUGAAAUCCCUGAGCUUAACUCAGGAAGUGCCUUGGAAACGGUGUCACUAGAGUACUGGAGAGGUUCGCAGAAUUCUUGGUGUAGCGGUGAAAUGCGUAGAGAUCAAGAGGAAUACCAGAGGCGAAGGCGGCGAACUGGACAGUAACUGACGCUGAGGCGCGACAGCGUGGGGAGCAAACAGG